rnacentral:rRNA from 12 species
CGUACCUUUUGUAUAAUGGGUCAGCGACUUACAUUCAGUAGCAAGCUUAACCGAUAGGGGAGGCGUAGCGAAAGCGAGUCCGAAUAGGGCGUUUAGUUGCUGGGUGUAGACCCGAAACCAAGUGAUCUAUCCAUGGCCAGGUUGAAGGUGCCGUAACAGGUACUGGAGGACCGAACCCACUAAUGUUGAAAAAUUAGGGGAUGAGCUGUGGAUAGGGGUGAAAGGCUAAUCAAACUUGGAGAUAGCUGGUUCUCUCCGAAAACUAUUUAGGUAGUGCCUCGUAUAUCAUUCUCGGGGGUAGAGCACUGUUAUGGCUAGGGGGUUCAUACGGACUUACCAAACCAUUGCAAACUCCGAAUACCGAGAAAUGCAAUUACGGGAGACAGACUGCGGGUGCUAACGUCCGUAGUCAAGAGGGAAACAACCCAGACCGACAGCUAAGGUCCCAAAUGACGUGCUAAGUGGAAAACGAAGUGGGAAGGCACAGACAGCCAGGAGGUUGGCUUAGAAGCAGCCAUCCUUUAAAGAAAGCGUAAUAGCUCACUAGUCGAGUCGGCCUGCGCGGAAGAUGUAACGGGGCUAAAUUGGUAACCGAAGCUGCGGAUGCAUGCUUGCAUGCAUGGUAGAGGAGCGUUCUGUAAGCCGUUGAAGGUGAACCGGGAGGUUUGCUGGAGGUAUCAGAAGUGCGAAUGCUGACAUGAGUAACGAUAAAGGGGGUGAGAGGCCCCCUCGCCGAAAAUCCAAGGUUUCCUGCUCAACGCUAAUCGGAGCAGGGUGAGUCGGUCCCUAAGGCGAGGCAGAAAUGCGUAGUCGAUGGAAAACAGGUUAAUAUUCCUGUACCGGUUGUUACUGCGAUGGGAUGACGGAGAAGGUUAGGUUAGCCAACUGUUGGAUAUGUUGGUUUAAGUGUGUAGGCGUGCUUUAUAGGAAAAUCCGUAGAGCUAAGCUGAGGCAUGAUGACGAGUCUCAAUGGAGACGAAGUAACUGAUACCAGGCUUCCAGGAAAAGUCUCUAAGCUUCAGGUAACAAACGACCGUACCCCAAACCGACACAGGUGGAUGGGAUGAGAAUUCUAAGGCGCUUGAGAGAACUCGGGUGAAGGAACUAGGCAAAAUAGCACCGUAACUUCGGGAGAAGGUGUGCCCUUGUUAGGUGAAGCGACUUGCUCGUGGAGCUGAAGAGGGUUGCAGUGAACUGGUGGCUGCGACUGUUUAUUAAAAACACAGCACUCUGCAAACACGAAAGUGGACGUAUAGGGUGUGACGCCUGCCCGGUGCCGGAAGGUUAAUUGAUGGGGUUAGCGCUUGCGCGAAGCUCUUGAUCGAAGCCCCGGUAAACGGCGGCCGUAACAAUAACGGUCCUAAGGUA